rnacentral:rRNA from 1 species
CUUUUUGUAGAACGGGCCAACGAGUUACGUUAAGUAGCAAGGUUAAGCACUUAAGGUGCGGAGCCGUAGCGAAAGCGAGUUUUAACUGAGCGUUCAGUUAUUUGACGUAGACCCGAAACCGGGCGACCUACCCAUGAGCAGGAUGAAGCGAAAGUAAAAUUUCGUGGAGGUCCGAACCCACGAGCGUUGAAAAGCUCGGGGAUGACUUGUGGGUAGCGGUGAAAUUCCAAUCGAGCCCGGAGAUAGCUGGUUCUCCCCGAAAUAGCUUU